AUUGGGUUAAAAAAAUAGAAUUUUUUCAAGGGGUUUAGGGUGGGUUGGAUUGGGUUAAAUACCCUAUAUACAUUAUUUAUUUAUUUAAUAAGGAAAUUAAAUUACUAAUUAAGUUUUCUCAUUUUUUCUUUUUCACUUUUCAAGGCCAAGCAAAAUCAUCUUCUUAAUUCUCACAUCUUCACACGACACUUCACCUUCGACUCUCCCUCGCGUGUCGCAACAUCUCCGGCAUCUCCUCCGUCUCAGCCCUGUCUCUCCUCCUUCAUCUCUUUCGUCUCUCCUUUGACAUCUCCUCCAUCCCUUCUCCUUCCUCUCCUCUGAUCUCAGAUCUCCUAUGUCUCCUUCGUCUCCUUCAACAUCUCCUUCAUCUUUGACAUCUUCGAUCUUCGCCACCUCCAAUCUUCGUCAGAUCUCAAAUCUCCUAUGUCCUGGUCAAGCAUAAAAAUUAUCUGUAUUUGACUCAGAUCUCAUAUCUCCUCUGUCUCCGAUCUUUGCUAGAUCUCAGAUCUCUUGGAAAUUAACAAAAAAUAUGGAGGUCUCUUAACCCACCCCAUAUUUCACCAGUUGGGUUGGAAACUUAAUUCAACCCAAAUAACCCGAAAAUAUGGAGGUCUCUUAACCCACCCCAAUUACACCCUAACCCACGACUAACUUUCCAACCAAACCACCAACUUGUCCUCUUACUUAUAUUGAGGCAGCUAACAAGAUAGUGAAAGAGAAGCUCACUCCCACUCAACUUGUUCUUUUCAAGAAGACAAUAUUUAGGCGAUUUGUAGGCAUGGAUAUUGUUCAAUAGCUCACUCAUACAUUAAUUCCUACUAAGAAAGUUGAAAGACGAUAGGCAAAGGAUGGUACGACAUUUGAAUUGAACGGAACGGUUAAAGAUUUACUAAGGAAGAUUUCUUACUAGUGAUGAGAUUGUGGCAGACAUCUAAUUUAGUAGGUGUUAGAAGGGCUGAAUGCAAAUUGGAAGAUUCAACCUUGAAGUAUUACAACAAGUACAGGAUAUUCACAUAAAUACCUUGAAGCAUCAUAUAAGAAGAUGGAAUUUGAAAAUAGUAUGGAUGCUAUGAAAUGACUUUGGUAUAUUACAUUGAGUGCUAUGAUGAGCAAAGAGAAGACGAGGGCAUAUGUCAAAUAUCAUUUUUAUUUUGGACUACUUCAAUAGUAUGGACUAGGCAAAUAUCAUGUAGGAGAGGACAUUUUCGAGAUUACUAAGGGGCUUGGUUGGUAAAGUCGAGAACUACAAGAAGAAAUCAAAGAACAACAAGAACUACAUGGUUAAGUACAAUAUUCUAGGAUUACCUGAUGCAUUCUGAGGUAGUAUUGGUUGGUACUAUACUUUACUAUAGUUGUUUCUCAUUUUUAUUAUUACCGUAAUAAUAAUAGAAUGACAUGUGUCGUGAUUAUUCAAAUUUAAUGUGAUUGGAUUAGAGAAUAAAUGGAGAAGAACAGAAGGUGUAAUGAUAGACAGAAAAUAAGAUUUCUGUUGAGUGAAGG
rnacentral:lncRNA from 1 species